rnacentral:misc_RNA from 1 species
GAUGAAGAACGUAGCGAAAUGCGAUAAGUAAUGUGAAUUGCAGAAUUCAGUGAAUCAUCGAAUCUUUGAACGCACCUUGCGCCCUUUGGCCAUUCCGAAGGGCAUGCCUGUUUGAGUAUCAUGAACACCUCAACUCUUCAUGGUUUUCCGUGAUGAGCUUGGACUUUGGGGGUCUUGCUGGCCUAUGGUCAGCUCCUCUAAAAUUAAUCAGCUUGCCAGUGUUUGGUGGCAUCACAGGUGUGAUAACUAUCUACGCUUGUGGUUUUCCAUCAGGUAACCUUCAGUGAUGGAGGUUCGCUGGGGCUCAUAAAUGUCUCUCCUCAGUGAGGACAGCUUUUUUGAACGUUUGAUCUCAAAUCAGGUAGGACUACCCGCUGAACUUAAGCAUAUCAAUAAGCGGAGGA